rnacentral:rRNA from 1 species
GACGAACGCUGGCGGCGUGCUUAACACAUGCAAGUCGAGCGGUAAGGCCCUUUCGGGGGUACACGAGCGGCGAACGGGUGAGUAACACGUGGGUGACCUGCCCCUCAGCUCGUGGGAUGAGCCGUAGGGGAAACCGGGUCUAAUACUGGAUAUGACUCCAUGACGCAUGUUGGUGGGGUAGGAAAGCCUUGUGCGGCUGGAGGAGUCGGGCCCGCGGCCUAUCAGUCUU